AGGGAAUCUUCCGCAAUGGACGAAAGUCUGACGGAGCAACGCCGCGUGAGUGAAGAAGGUUUUCGGAUCGUAAAACUCUGUUGUUAGAGAAGAACAAGGAUGAGAGUAACUGUUCAUCCCUUGACGGUAUCUAACCAGAAAGCCAUGGCUAACUACGUGCCAGCAGCCGCGGUAAUACGUAGAUGGCGAGCGUUGUCCGGAUUUAUUGGGCGUAAAGCGAGCGCAGGCGGUUCUUUAAGUCCGAUGUGAAAGCCCCUGGCUCAACCAGGGAGGGUCAUUGGAAACUGGAGAACUUGAGUGCAGAAGAGGAAAGUGGAAUUCCAUGUGUAGCGGUGAAAUGCGUAGAUAUAUGGGGGAACACCAGUGGCGAAGGCGACUUUCUGGUCUGUAACUGACGCUGAGGCUCGAAAGCAUGGGGAGCAAAC
rnacentral:rRNA from 1 species